UACAGAGGAGCCAAGCGUUGUCCGGAUUGACUGGGCGUAAAGCGCACGCAGGCGGUUGCGCGCGGGGGGGGUGAAAUCUGGCCGCUUAACGGCCAGGCGCCAUCCCAUACGGCGCGACUGGAGUGAUGCAGAGGUCGAUGGAAUUGCCGGUGUAGUGGUGAAAUGCGUAGAGAUCGGCAGGAACACCAGUGGCGAAGGCGACUUCCUGGCCUGUUCUUGACGCUGAGGCGCGAAAGCUAGGGGAGCAAACGGG
rnacentral:rRNA from 1 species